rnacentral:rRNA from 1 species
GAACGCUAGCGACAGGCCUAACACAUGCAAGUCGAGGGGCAGCACAAGGAGCAAUCUGAGGUGGCGACCGGCGCACGGGUGAGUAACACGUAUGCAACCUGCCUGUAAGCGGGAAUAACCCGUGAAAGACGGACUAAUACCGCAUAAUACUAAAUUACUGCAUGGUAAUUUAUUUAAACAUUUAUGGCUUACAGAUGGGCAUGCGCAUGAUUAGCUAGUUGGAGAGGUAACGGCUCCCCAAGGCAACGAUCAUUAGGGGUUCUGAGAGGAAGGUCCCCCACACUGGUACUGAGACACGGACCAGACUCCUACGGGAGGCAGCAGUGAGGAAUAUUGGUCAAUGGACGAGAGUCUGAACCAGCCAAGUCGCGUGCAGGAAGAAUGUUCCCUAUGGAUUGUAAACUGCUUUUGCGAGGGGAAUAAAGUGCAUCACGUGUGAUGUUUUGUAUGUACUCUGCGAAUAAGGAUCGGCUAACUCCGUGCCAGCCGCCGC